UACAGAGGGGGCAAGCGUUGUUCGGAAUUACUGGGCGUAAAGGGCGCGUAGGCGGCCUGCUAAGUCGAACGUGAAAUCCCUGGGCUCAACCCAGGAACUGCGUCCGAUACUGGUUGGCUUGAAUCCGGGAGAGGGAUGUGGAAUUCCAGGUGUAGCGGUGAAAUGCGUAGAUAUCUGGAGGAACACCGGUGGCGAAGGCGACAUCCUGGACCGAUAUUGACGCUGAGGCGCGAAAGCGAGGGGAGCAAACAGG
rnacentral:rRNA from 1 species